ACCUACCCAUAACAGGGGGAUAACACUGAGAAAUUGGUACUAAUACCCCAUAACAUCUCGAGUGGCAUCACUUGGGGUUGAAAGCUUCGGUGGUUAUGGAUGGGCAUGCGUUGUAUUAGCUAGUUGGAGAGGUAACGGCUCACCAAGGCGACGAUACAUAGGGGGACUGAGAGGUUAACCCCCCACAUUGGUACUGAGACACGGACCAAACUCCUACGGGAGGCAGCAGUGAGGAAUAUUGGUCAAUGGACGGAAGUCUGAACCAGCCAUGCCGCGUGCAGGAUGACGGCUCUAUGAGUUGUAAACUGCUUUUGUACGAGGGUAAACCCGAAUACGUGUAUUCGGCUGAAAGUAUCGUACGAAUAAGCAUCGGCUAACUCCGUGCCAGCAGCCGCGGUAAUACGGGGGAUGCGAGCGUUAUCCGGAUUCAUUGGGUUUAAAGGGUGCGUAGGCUGUGCGUCAAGUCGGGGGUGAAAUUCCGGUGCUCAACACCGGGGCUGCCCUUGAUACUGUCGCGCUGGAGUGCGGAUGCCGCCGGAGGAAUGAGUGGUGUAGCGGUGAAAUGCUUAGAUAUCACUCAGAACACCGAUUGC
rnacentral:rRNA from 1 species